rnacentral:rRNA from 1 species
UACGAAGGUCCCGAGCGUUAUCCGGAUUUAUUGGGUUUAAAGGGCUCGUAGGCGGCCAACUAAGUCGGAUGUGAAAUCCCCAGGCUUAACCUGGGAACUGCAUCCGAUACUGGAUGGCUUGAAUUCGGGAGAGGGAUGCAGAAUUCCAGGUGUAGCGGUGAAAUGCGUAGAUAUCUGGAGGAAUACCGGUGGCGAAGGCGGCAUCCUGGACCGACAUUGACGCUGAGUGAGCGAAAGCUAGGGGAGCAAACGGG